GUGCUAAUCUGCGAUAAGCGCCGGUAAGGUGAUAUGAACCGUUAUAACCGGCGAUACCCGAAUGGGGAAACCCAGUGUGACUCGUCACACUAUCAUUAACUGAAUCCAUAGGUUAAUGAGGCGAACCGGGGGAACUGAAACAUCUAAGUACCCCGAGGAAAAGAAAUCAACCGAGAUUCCCCCAGUAGCGGCGAGCGAACGGGGAGGAGCCCAGAGCCUGAAUCAGCAUGUGUGUUAGUGGAAGCGUCUGGAAAGGCGCGCGAUACAGGGUGACAGCCCCGUACACAAAAGCGCAUGUGCUGUGAGCUCGAUGAGUAGGGCGGGACACGUGGUAUCCUGUCUGAAUAUGGGGGGACCAUCCUCCAAGGCUAAAUACUCCUGACUGACCGAUAGUGAACCAGUACCGUGAGGGAAAGGCGAAAAGAACCCCGGCGAGGGGAGUGAAAAAGAACCUGAAACCGUGUACGUACAAGCAGUGGGAGCCCCACCACCAAAGCAUUUGCUGUACCGCGUUGACGGAGCGAAGCGACGUCAAACCGAUAAAACAGCAGUGUAAAGUGAGCCGCAGGGCGCUUUGCGCGACAGCGCAAAGGCAGGCGGUUUCGCGUAGCGAAAGCGAAUGCUUUGGGGUGG
rnacentral:rRNA from 1 species